UACGUAGGGUGCGAGCGUUGUCCGGAAUUAUUGGGCGUAAAGGGCUCGUAGGCGGUCUGUUGCGUCGGGAGUGAAAACUCAGGGCUUAACCCUGAGCCUGCUUCCGAUACGGGCAGGCUCGAGUUCGGUAGGGGAGACUGGAAUUCCUGGUGUAGCGGUGAAAUGCGCAGAUAUCAGGAGGAACACCGGUGGCGAAGGCGGGUCUCUGGGCCGAUACUGACGCUGAGGAGCGAAAGCGUGGGGAGCGAACAGG
rnacentral:rRNA from 1 species